UUUGCAUUGAUUUGUUUCAUUUAUAUCAACGAUAUCAACUAAAAAUUGAAAAUGUAAAUCGAACAUAACCUCAUAUUUUGCGUGCAAAAAACUUUUCCGGAAGUAAACUUUUAACAUUGAUUGAGAUUUUUUAAUGUUCGGAGUUAAAAUUGUCGAAGUAUGUUAUAUUUUAUUAAUGAAAUAAUUCUAGAUAAGGUUGAAUGUUUACAUAAAGUGUGUGCUUUACUUAAGUUCCUCGAAGUUUACAAAAAGAAUUUAAAAUCAAAAUUUUGAAAAAUAUUUGUCCCUCUGGUGAAUGUUGCUCUAAACAGAAAACCGGCGCACUUCGCAAAAAAAAUUGUUCUUGUAUUUUAAGGUUAUAUUUCAAAUGUCCCUUUAAUUUUUGACUAAUUUUGACAUUUAAUGGAGAGAAAGAACUAUUUAUUAUUUAAAUUUACUCAAUAACGUUGUUCUUAAUUCUUCACAAUUUACGAUAGACAUAAUUUUUUAAUGAAACAUUUCGGAAAAAGAUAAACUUUUAAGUACUGUAACGACUCAAAGAUGUCAAGGUCAAGGAAGACAAUAUUUUACGAUAACCUCCAUAGAAGAGCUAUUAAAACAAUCUGGGCUUUCUCUGGUAUAUGUGGAGUGAUUUUCUGCAUAAGAUUUUACAAUUUUAAAUUCAAUGUUUCACCUGCCUUAAGAGUUGAACGUGAAAAAGUUGAAGCUGAAUUUCUUGCUGAAGGAAAAGCAACAGAAGAAGAUUUUUCUGCAACGUAGUUAUGAAAGUAAAUCUUUCACAGUCAUUAGUUUAUAAAAUUACAUGUUAUCUAAUUCCAAACUAGCAUAUAUUCUCUUACUCGAAUGAGAUUUUCUCUUCUUCGUUUAAUUGUAUUUCCUCGUUUCAAAGGGUUAUUGUAAUAAUAACAAGGGUUAUUCUACCAUAAUCAAUGUUAAAAGUUUAUUUCAGAAUUUAAUUUAAUAACUAGGAAAUGCUAGAAUAAAAAUGAUUAGAAAAGAGAUUAAAUUAUGUUUAAUAAAAAUUUUUAAUACUUAAAACAAAAA